AUCAUUCAGGCAAAACUUUGUUUUAAGAAUGAGCCACACUGCUGACCUGAUCUAAUUGCUAGCACAGCCUGAGCACAUCUCAGGGAUCCAGUUUGCAUGCAGGAGAGAGAUUACAGUCGGAUCUGUGUUGUGGUCUGUUGAACAGCCUGACCCUUCAUGCACUUCGGAUUAGCUCCAGUUACCAUUAAUGGAAAGUAGAGCAGUCGACUGGCCCGUGAGUAACCAGCCCUUUCUCUAACCUCCCCAAUGCAGUUUCCAAAACCUACAGAGCCACCUUCCUAGACAGCACUUUAAGGCAUUAAAGUGUUGUAUUGUAUGCUUUAC
ensembl:lncRNA